CUUUCCUCCUUUAACUUUGGAUGUCAGGUGGUAUUUUGUCUCAGCAGCAAGAAAAGAAACUAAGGCAACAGUCACUCCAUCCUCUUGGAAAAAAUAAGAAGAAAAAGUGCCUUCUGUCGGGAAACUGGCUGGACCCUCUCCAGGGAGAUAGCAGUUCUGACAGAUCCCUUCUGUGACCUGCGGUGGCAUUUCUGUCUUCUCCGGUCUGGCUCAGCUGUUUGCAGGGAAGACCUCCUGCCAGCUGAAUCAGCCACCCAGUUGCUGAGCUGGUCCUGACUCAGGUCAUUUGCUCAUCCAAUGGUCCUCAUCACUGCUGCCAGGUGCUGGGUACAUAGCCAUGAAAGGAGUGAGGCCCUUGGCCUGAAGGAGCUCACAAUCUGGCAAGAGCUGGACAUGGAAGCAGAUCACAGCUAUGCUUUGUAAUAACUCUGGGGUGGAUGAACGGACAAGGGCCCUGUGGCUGCAAAGGCCAGCUGUCCACCAAAUGGCAUGCUCCCCUUUCAACAGGAUGGAACUGGCAGGCACAGGGACUACAUUUCCCAGCCCUCCUUGCACCCAGGAGCCACCCUGUGACUGCCUAGUCCUCACCAUGGAAUGCGAGUAGGGUGUGCCACUUCUGGCCUGGGAUUUUAAGAAAUAGGUGUGCCUCUUGCGGUCCCUCUUCCUUUUUCCAUCACGUGGUUUCAUCAUCUGAUACCCUAGGGAUUAUGGAGCCAAAAAAUGCAGCCCUAAAUUUCUACUUGAGGGAAAGCUGCUUGCUGACCAAGAAACCUACACUAGACCAUCCUGGAAUGAGAAACAAGCUUCUAUUGGGUUAAGCCACAGAAAUUGAGGACUUUGUCAUCUGGGAUUGUCCUUUUGGAAACAGAUGUCUAAUCCCAAUGGUGGCUUCAGGGAAAGAUUCCAGGAAGAAGUGACACUUGGGGCUGAAGGGCUAGCUGGGUUUAGCAGCUGGCCAAGCAAUAUGUCAGGAUGCUGUUGUUGAGGGGAGGGGUGAGAAGCAGGGAGGAUAAUUUAGGCAGAGAGAACAGAACACAUGAAGUACAGAGUGUGUGUGUGCGCGUGUGUGCGUGUGUGUGUAGGAGUGGUGGAUGUGUGUGUGUGAGUAAAUGCACAUCUGUGUGGUGUGGGUGAUAAUAGCACCUUAGCCUUAUUGGAAUAUAAAGUGUGGGGGAAGAGAACAGUAAAUAUGCUGCAGGGAUCUGCAGGGAGCCAUGUAGGAGUUUCUGUGCCAAGGCGUUUUAAAAUGUAGACACUGGGAGGAUUUUAACAGUAUGGCUUAAAAUAAGCAGUCUGAUCCACUUUGUGAGCUAUAAUGAUCACUUUGGUGGCAGUGUGAUGAAUGGAUUAGAGAAGGUGAGGCUAGGGAUAGGGAGACCGGAGCGCAGUUAGUAGGUGAGCAGGUGCAGCAGUCUGGGCCAGGGGAUGGUGGUGUCAUGGCUGGGCACUGGUAGAAGAAAGAGGCAAGAAGAUGAGGUGGCUGACCGGGAUUGUGGUGGGGGAGAGGGAAGCAGUGAAGAUAAUGUCUGGGUUUGUAACCCCAUGAUUAAUUUUUACUUGUACUAUAAGUGGGUAGGAAGGGAAAUUAAAUUUUCUGUGAUAAGAUAGCCCUCAUUUUUGUUUGUUCUGCUAUUAAAGUUAACCCUAUGUGGCACUUCCUAAAUGCCAGGUGCUUUUCAGAGCCCUUUACAUAUAAUUAACUCAUUAAUAUUAGUAGUACUCCCAUGAGGUAUAAUGACUUGUUCCUUUUUUUUUUGGCAAGGAGUUACUGGGGAUUGAACCCGUAGCUCCGCAGUGAGCCAUAUCCUUAGCCCUUUUAUUCUGAGACAGAGUCUUGCUAAAUCACUCAGCCUAGACUCACACUCACAGUCCCCCUAACUCAGCCUCCCAGAGUGCUGGGAAUACAGGUGUAUGCCACCACUUCUGGCAAUUUGCCCCAUUUUGCAGAUUGAGAUACAAAGGUGAAUAAGUUUACCAUCUAGUAAGUGGAAGAUUCAGGAUUUGCGCCAGGAGUCUGGUUUUGGACUAUGCUUUUAGCUGCCAGUGCUCUGUUUCUUGUUUUACCUGUAGUACAGGUUGCCAAUCAGAGUCCUUCCCUGGACCCAACGGCACACUUCUUGGAUACUGAACAUGGUUAUUUAGUGAUCCUGGUCUGGACACAGAUCUGGCCUCCUGAUUUUCCCAUUGGAGAAUAUGUUCUCUUGGCAGGCUGCAGCCCCACUUUCAGAAUCAGCCUAUUUCAGCUCCCUUCAUCACCCCUUCUGGUUUCAGUGACUCAAUGUGAUCUGUAACUGGAUGCUCACGGUUCUGAUACCUGAAUGACUCUACUCACAGUGACUCCCUCCAGAGCCUCCAAACACUAUAGCAUUUGCCCAAGGCCACACAGGCCAUUAGUGGUUAGGCCUGGAUUCAAACUCAGGACUGUCUGGCUCCACAACACAUCCUUUUGCCUCUCCAUGGCCUCCCCUAGAGGUCUACACUCAGUCCUUCGGACUCCAAGGUCAAGCCCAGAGCAAUUCCUCACUCUUCCUCACAACAUAGAAUAAGCCCAGGAAUCCAUGCUGACCUCCAGCCCAGGCUGCAUCCUGUGGGGCUGCUCCAUUGUCAGGCAUGAAGUAGAAGGGAGCAGAGCCCAGGCCAGGUGAGGCCUGCUGGCUGAGCUGCACUCACGGACUUGGCUAAUUUGUUACUAAUUCCUUAGGAGCACAGAACAACCCUAACAAGAUAGAAAAAUCAAUGGCCAAGAGAAAGACAAAGCAAAGUGCUGAGCAGAAAGUGAGGGAGGAAAGUGAUUUUUAAAAGACCUUGACAAACUCUUUGGUGCACAGCCUGUAAAGUGGGGGAUAAAUGUCUGUCUUCCAUUGAUUCAUAUUGUUUUCCAAGUAGGAGACAGGAGAGAGGUAAUGGGCUUGGUUGAGGGGCUGGUUGGCCUUGCAAUGUCGAGAUAAUUAUUGUUCAGUUAGAGGGUUGGUGAUUUUCUACUUUUCAGAGGCACAGAGAGCAAUCAGGGGCUGAAAUGUGUUUCCAAAUGAUGGAAGUGAGCAAUAAAGAUCAAUUAGCAGUGAUAGCAUUGGCUGGAAAAAACCGAGUGGUUCAGACAUAGCUUUUCUUUCUAUCUUUGUGCCCAGCAACGAGGAGAAAGAUGAGCAGGACGGGAGGGGAGCCUUGUGAAGGGUGGGAUGGGGCACGAGAUCCCUGGGUUUGUGGUCUGCUGGUGUGAGGGCCACAGCAGGCCCAAAUCUAGUUGCCAAGUUCAAUGCCAAGACACAUGGCAGCUAUUCCUGAGAGUGCCACAGCCACCAGGAGGAAGGGGCUGGGUGGCACCACUACCCGGAAAUUCCUGCAAAAGACUUCACAGCAGUUGCCAGGGGCUGGGAGGCUGGAAGGGUUGCAGCAGUUUAUAGAACUCCAAGUCCUCACAGUGGCCUCUCAGGGUCUUGCCAUCUGCCUGGCUAUUCCUUGUCACCUCUCUGGGCUUGUCUUCUGUUCCUUCAGUUUCUACAACUUCAAUAAGCGUCCUCAGUGCAGCCCACUCUAAUGACCCUCUAAAGUGAAAACAAACCCCUGCUUUACUUGCUUUUUAUCGUACCACCUAGUUCUUUCUAAAAAAAAAAAAAAAAAAAAAAAUAUAUAUAUAUAUAUAUAUAUAUAUAAUGUAUUUAGUGUAUGUAGUGCCUGUGUUCCCUCCUCUAGAAGGCAAGCUCUCUGAGGCAAGGGUCUUGCCCACAUUCUGGGAAAGUGUGGCCCGUGUUGGCUGAAUGAAUGAAUGAGGUGGGACCAGUCAUCAGAGCCAAACAUUCUAAGCUGCUUCUCUUCUUCACAGCUGGGGGAGGAGAUCCAGAGCCAGGGCAAGAGUUGCCCAGGAAGUGCCUGAGCUGGGACUAGCUGCAGUGUCUGAACUAUAAUGUUCUUUGUCUUCUCGGAAACUGGGUGGAGGAUGGAGCGAAUUUUCAUGGGGGUUCUGCUGCAUGCGCAGGGUGUGUCUGGAGCUCCUCAUUCCACCUCUUCAUUCCAUCCCUACCCGUGCACCAGCCAGGACCUAUGGGACCCUUUCUCCUGCUCCCCUUUCUUGGACUAAUUCCUUGUAACCAUCAGAUAUGGAAUUUGUCAGACUGUCUUCCUGAUGUUCUGGACUAGAGCAGGCCUCCCUCGCUGCUCCCAAAGUCCUUGGCAUAUCUUCCUUCCACUCAGGAAGCACUUGGAGAUUACCUGGCUUGUUUGUUUCCUGUUUUUUCUGGCCAGACUAUGUCUGUCUCCUGACCUGCUAUUUCCCUGGGGUCUAUAAUUGUGGAAGACAUUAAGAACAUUUGAUGAAUGAAUA